GCGGUGGUAGUCUAGCCUGGUCUAGGACACCGGCCUUCCAAGCCGUGACCCGGGUUCAAAUCCCGGCCACCGCACCA
rnacentral:tRNA from 1 species